GUAGAACUACUACUCAUAUGAUCCACCACUGAACCCUAGAACGACAGUUUUCGUCGGGGAAGGAAUCCGAGGAGGGCGGGUAUUAUAUUCUUCUUACAAGGGAUCGGAAUCCCUCCCCCGAACCAGCGGAAUCCAGUCAAACAUUUUACGAAUACCCACAGCUCUCCAUGUGACCAUAGCCCCGUUACCAGUGGAGAUAGGAUGGAAGUAGGAGUCGUAGGAAGCCCUCCCGACCAACCGGCACCAGCAAGCAGAAGAGACGGAGAAGAACCCCCCUGGGAACUACACUAGGAGAGAAG
rnacentral:lncRNA from 1 species